UUAAUAGAACACUGGAUAUCUUAAGAUUACGUGACAACUCUGUUCCCACAUUAUUUUUGACACCCAAAGAAGGCCCCCAGGAGUCGUUGGUUUUACAUGAUAUUACUAACAUCAGAAAGCAUAAUGAUACUGCCACAUCAACUGAUGUGUUCCCAUUGCCAUUAUCCUAUGAAAAUAUAAAACCAAAGCAUAAGGAGUUUGUUUCGUUUGACGAAAGGCUAUUUGAAAUAAUAAAUAAUUACUUUGCC